rnacentral:rRNA from 1 species
AUUAGAUGAGCCUAUAUUAGAUUAGCUAGUUGGUGGAGUAAUAGCCUACCAAGGCAAUGAUCUAUAGCUGAUCUGAGAGGAUGAUCAGCCACACUGGAACUGAGAUACGGUCCAGACUCCUACGGGAGGCAGCAGUGGGGAAUAUUGGACAAUGGGCGAAAGCCUGAUCCAGCUAUGCCGCAUGAGUGAAGAAGGCCUUUGGGUUGUAAAGCUCUUUUAGUGAGGAAGAUAAUGACGGUACUCACAGAAGAAGUCCUGGCUAACUCCGUGCCAGCAGCCGCGGUAAUACGGAGAGGGCUAGCGUUAUUCGGAAUUAUUGGGCGUAAAGGGCGCGUAGGCUGAUUAAUAAGUUAAAAGUGAAAUCCCGAGGCUUAACCUUGGAAUUGCUUUUAAAACUAUUAAUCUAGAGAUUGCCCGAGGAUAGAGGAAUUCCUGAUGUAGAGGUAAAAUUCGUAAAUAUUAGGAGGAACACCAGUGGCGAAGGCGUCUAUCUGGUUCAAAUCUGACGCUGAGGCGCGAAGGCGUGGGGAGCAAACAGGAUUAGAUACCCUGGUAGUCCACGCUAUAAACGAUGAAUGUUAAAUAUGGGAAG